CAACCAUCCCAAGCCGGAGUGGCGGUUCGCAUCUUACCGGGCAGCAUUAGAGUCGUGUAGUCAUUUUCUAAUACUGUCAGGUAAAGAUGUCGUCCGCGCUCCA
rnacentral:pre_miRNA from 1 species